rnacentral:tRNA from 1 species
GGGGGUGUAGCACAAUUGGUAGUGCAGCGGUCUCCAAAACCGAAGGUUGAGAGUUCGAAACUUUCCACCCCCGCCA